ACAUGCGUAAUGCAUCAAGUUCGCCGUGCGCACUGACGUCAAGGUCAGCGGCUCCCACUGAAAUGAAGACAAGCAGGCAGGAAGUGACACAGGGCCUCACGCGAGUCUGCGAAUAGCAUCGUCGGACUCGGCUUUCUGCAACACAACUAUCGUCGGUGACAACAUUAGGAUGCAUUAGGAUGCGCAAGGAAAAAAGAAAAGAACCAAGCAAUCAAGAAAAUGAAGAGGGAGAACGAAGAAUCGAAGACAGAAGAACAGAAGAAUACUGCCAAGAAUCGCGGAAUGGCAUGCUCGCGGCACCGGACUUGGAGGACCUGCGCAAGCUGGUGAACCAAGCCUGGGAAGCAGCAGAGGCCAAUGGGUACAUGGACUGAGGAGGUCACUCGCGCUAACCCCUGGUGUCAUUGACCGCUGGAGGGCCUAUAUCCCCAAGGAAAGAGGAAGGACCCGCAACGAAGACACACCGAUGCAGUUCGACCAUCAGUGCCCCGAAUGCCGCACACCGUGUCGCCUCACGGCCAAACACCUUUUCUGGUAAUGUGGGGCUCACGAAACGGCACGCCACAAAUACCUUGACAGAGUGACGGUCCCGAACUACGAGGCCUGGCAUAUGACUAACGGACGAACUCGAUAAGCGUGCCGUGCACAACUCCCUUCUGGCCUUCGCUGACGAGUCUGGUUUGCUGUUCCGACUGCAAGGGCCACGCAGGCGCAGCUGACUGACCAUCAUCUGCUUACCCCUCCUUUUCCAACCAUACCCGCGCCUGAAUUCCCCGAGCCCUCCAACAGAGGCCCAAAGCGCCAGCCUUUCUAAUGAAGAUGGCAGUCAUUCGUUUAUAUUGUUAUUACUCUCCUUUGCUGAAGCAAAAGUUAUUUUUUUUCUAUAAGUGAAGCAGAGCAGCCAGAAGCAUGCGUUUACAACCCCUGAUCAGGUGCCAGCUUGCCCCUUCCUGCGGUGUAGAGGUUGCACAAGGGAAUAAAAAAAGUUGAACGCGAAA